CCCGGCCAAGACUGCUGUUGUAGUGGCUGCAAAGAGAGAAGAUGAUCAACAGGCUGAAACCCUGCUACACGCUGAGUUUUUUGGAAUGGAUGUGAGAGCCAAAGCUCAGAUGCCUCUCCAGGAGCAAACACGGGAAGGAUCUACCUUUCUCCAUGAACCCUAGAUAAGUCACACGGUUGGCUUAAACGAGACGCUUCACGCUUGGAUGGCUGCAGUGAGGGGAGCACUCCUGCAGUGUGGGGAGCUGCACGGAGCCUGUCACCAAGUUCCUCAGGGACAUGUGUGGAGUGCUGCUGGCAGGCAGUGAAGACCUCUGGGUGGCAGUGACUGCUGGGUGAGCUGUGUAAGCAGAUCUGUGGUGUGUCUCUUUCCCUUUGUGUCUCCUGAGGGGUAAAAAGCUCAUCGGAGGAGACAGCUGGUGUAUCUGAGAAU
rnacentral:lncRNA from 1 species